rnacentral:rRNA from 1 species
UACGUAGGGUGCAAGCGUUGUCCGGAAUUAUUGGGCGUAAAGAGCUCGUAGGCGGUUUGUCGCGUCUGCUGUGAAAACUCAGGGCUUAACCCUGAGCCUGCAGUGGGUACGGGCAGACUAGAGUGUGGUAGGGGAGAUCGGAAUUCCUGGUGUAGCGGUGGAAUGCGCAGAUAUCAGGAGGAACACCGGUGGCGAAGGCGGCAUCCUGGACCGGCAUUGACGCUGAGUGAGCGAAAGCCAGGGGAGCAAACGGG